GCCUGGGUGGCUCAGUCUGUUAAGCGUCUGACUUUGACUCAGGUCAUGCACUCCUGGUUCGUGAGUUCGAGCCUCGCAUCAGGCU
rnacentral:tRNA from 1 species